GCAGGAUCGAUCUGUUGGCUUUUCCAAAACGAGUGCUCUACCGCACUGGCCUUUGAGGGAUAAAUGUCUUAUUCAGACAAAUCCACGAUGCUUUUCAGAGAGAAUCACUUUGCUGCACAGCUGUUGUCAGGGAGCAUGACUGGUGCACGGAUUGCUGGCAUAAGGCUGCCAGCAAUGGGAUUCUCUUUGCUUUCUUUGGGGAAGGUGGAAACGUGCAUUUUCAAAGCAGCUCAUUUAGUAAAUGUCUGCUUUUAAUCCCCAGACUAACUCAUUUUCAUUCUGUUCCUAUCUCCGAAGGUGAAUUCUGGGCACAAUUUGGAAGAUUCCUUUCAGCUUUCACUAAUUGGCAAUCAAAAGUACCCAUCAUCCUGGAUCCAAAACGUCAAGUCUCUGCUUUGAGCAUAAACUUGCUGCUAUCGCCAUGCAGACAUAGUGCUCAU
rnacentral:lncRNA from 1 species